rnacentral:rRNA from 1 species
CCCUUGGGGGUGCCUAUACAUGCAAGUCGAACGCGUUGGCCCAAUUGAUUGAUGGUGCUUGCACCUGAUUGAUUUUGGUCGCCAACGAGUGGCGGACGGGUGAGUAACACGUAGGUAACCUGCCCAGAAGCGGGGGACAACAUUUGGAAACAGAUGCUAAUACCGCAUAACAGCGUUGUUCGCAUGAACAACGCUUAAAAGAUGGCUUCUCGCUAUCACUUCUGGAUGGACCUGCGGUGCAUUAGCUUGUUGGUGGGGUAACGGCCUACCAAGGCGAUGAUGCAUAGCCGAGUUGAGAGACUGAUCGGCCACAAUGGGACUGAGACACGGCCCAUACUCCUACGGGAGGCAGCAGUAGGGAAUCUUCCACAAUGGGCGCAAGCCUGAUGGAGCAACACCGCGUGAGUGAAGAAGGGUUUCGGCUCGUAAAGCUCUGUUGUUAAAGAAGAACACGUAUGAGAGUAACUGUUCAUACGUUGACGGUAUUUAACCAGAAAGUCACGGCUAACUACGUGCCAGCAGCCGCGGUAAUACGUAGGUGGCAAGCGUUAUCCGGAUUUAUUGGGCGUAAAGAGAGUGCAGGCGGUUUUCUAAGUCUGAUGUGAAAGCCUUCGGCUUAACCGGAGAAGUGCAUCGGAAACUGGAUAACUUGAGUGCAGAAGAGGGUAGUGGAACUCCAUGUGUAGCGGUGGAAUGCGUAGAUAUAUGGAAGAACACCAGUGGCGAAGGCGGCUACCUGGUCUGCAACUGACGCUGAGACUCGAAAGCAUGGGUAGCGAACAGGAUUAGAUACCCUGGUAGUCCAUGCCGUAAACGAUGAGUGCUAGGUGUUGGAGGGUUUCCGCCCUUCAGUGCCGGAGCUAACGCAUUAAGCACUCCGCCUGGGGAGUACGACCGCAAGGUUGAAACUCAAAGGAAUUGACGGGGGCCCGCACAAGCGGUGGAGCAUGUGGUUUAAUUCGAAGCUACGCGAAGAACCUUACCAGGUCUUGACAUCUUGCGCCAACCCUAGAGAUAGGGCGUUUCCUUCGGGAACGCAAUGACAGGUGGUGCAUGGUCGUCGUCAGCUCGUGUCGUGAGAUGUUGGGUUAAGUCCCGCAACGAGCGCAACCCUUGUUACUAGUUGCCAGCAUUAAGUUGGGCACUCUAGUGAGACUGCCGGUGACAAACCGGAGGAAGGUGGGGACGACGUCAGAUCAUCAUGCCCCUUAUGACCUGGGCUACACACGUGCUACAAUGGACGGUACAACGAGUCGCGAACUCGCGAGGGCAAGCAAAUCUCUUAAAACCGUUCUCAGUUCGGACUGCAGGCUGCAACUCGCCUGCACGAAGUCGGAAUCGCUAGUAAUCGCGGAUCAGCAUGCCGCGGUGAAUACGUUCCCGGGCCUUGUACACACCGCCCGUCACACCAUGAGAGUUUGUAACACCCAAAGUCGGUGGGGUAACCUUUUAGGAGCCAGCCGCCUAAGGUGACAGUUGUCCUUUUUAACCGUAGACG